CUAGAGGGACAUUGUAGCAUUUGUGGAUCUGUUGGUUUUGCUUGGGAGAUAACUAUGAAAAAUGAAACAGUGGAAGACAAAGCUCAUUGCAGAAUAAUAUUUAUAAUCUGAAUGUACACAGAAUGUAUCAAAUAUGCAAGUGCUAAGACAAACUGAAUUAAGAAUUGAGCAUGGAAUCUCAGAAAAUACAAUCAUCUAUCAGGCUGUAGGAUAUGAAGUUCGUUCAGCUAAACUAAAGUAUAUGAAGUAUGCUACGAUGAAGUCCACCCCGUACCAGUAGCUUUAUUACUCCAGCCUUAACACCAAAAUUUACAGAGAAAAUCCAUGAAGGAGAAGGUGUUGGUUUAUUUUAAAUACUCUUUUAUAAGUAAAUGUGAUGAUGGGAUAUACCGUAAUUACAAAUUAUUAUAGAAAGUAUGACUCCAUCAAACAUGUCUAGACAAACUGUUCAUAUUCACAGUACUCUAUACCACCAAUAUAGACAUAAAUCCUGCUAAAACAUGACCAACCUAUUGGAAGGUACCUUUCCACGCUCUAUCAAAUUUAGAUUAAACUUCUAGGUAUGGUUAAGAAGGCAGAGAUAGGAAAAGGGAUAACAUAUUAGUUUCUUCCUUUAAUUAGCACAUUUUUAACAUUUGUUGGCACUUAAUACAGAAAAGACAUUAAAAAUUACAUUAUUUAUGGUGAUUUUCUUCUUUUACAUACUGAACACUUCACUAGGACACACAACUCAUUCUGAAUUGAAAUGCAGAUCCUGUUCAGACCAGUAGAUGACACAAACUAUUUAUUUCACUAUAUUCAUCACAAUAUUAUAAUGUCACAGAAUCACCUACUACCUUCAACAUAGGAUUUAUCGUUUUUAGGAUAAAUGGGGAUGUAUAGCAACACUAAGACAAUCUUUAAAUUGCAUGGCAAUUUCAUGAAUUAUCAGCUAUGUCUAGAAAACAUUUAGAAGUAAUACAAGAGAUCCACCACGUCACAAAAUAAAAAUAGUCAACAAACACACACUACAUUUUCAGCUCAUUGUAUAUUUGUAACAACUAGCAAUAUUGUUAAAUAUAAAGUACUUACCACUGCAAAAAAUGAACCUAGCAUGACGAGGGCCUAUUGAGAUAGCUUUUCGAAAGAUAUAUCUACUGGUGAAACUUUUAACUUCACUGGCUAACUCCGUAAUUACAGUGUGACUAACAGACUUCCUAUAAUGACAAAUGCUAGGAAACAACUACAGCAGUCAGCAAAAUACCUUGUAUAGAAAAUAACAACAAAACCUUUAGAAGUGUAGAGUAGAAACAAUACAGAUCAGGUUAAACUGACAACUGGGGGAAAAAAAAGUAGUGAUUUAUUCAACAAUUAGGAAUAGGUUUAAAAGAAGCAGAAAAUAACCAAACCUCUAAAAAAAUUAUGAAUUUGACAAAAAAAAAAAAAAAAUCAAGAACUCCAAACACAUGCCCAAGGCAAAACUAAAUAUCUUAGAGCCAAUCACACGACAGCAUCUUUGAAAUGCACAUCAUUUCAGAGCCAAGUGAAAAACACUUUUUAUCCAACGUAUAAAAGAAUCAGAAAGUUUUAAAUGCCAAAAAUAACUAUGUAUUUUGAAUGAAAUCAGUUCAUAUGCAGGCAUACUUGCAAGCAUACUUCUGCACGAAUCAUUCAUGAUAGAGGCAAUCAUAGGUUAUCAGGCUCUGCAGAGGGUCUUUCUAAACAAGAAAAGAAAAAACAGUAUAAAACAGAUAAUUCCUAGUUCAAAAGGAAAAAAAAUACAAGAUCCUGAAAUAAACCAGUUGCUUGCUUUGCUUUUACAAACAAAUUUUGGAAAAUCUUAGUUCUCAGAAAGAAAAGAACAAUGGAAGUGAUUCACCCUGAAAUACAAGACUGAAGAAAGAAAUCUUGUUGAUGUUGUUAAGAACACAAAGCUUGUUCUCUGUUGCUUUCAGCAACUAUGAUGUUAGCCACCUGUGUUAGCCCUAGCGCGAGCUGGCCAAUUACCUGGUCAGGACCAAAUGACUGCAGACGCACACCAAUAUGAUGAGCAGCAAAAUGGCGUUUAAUCACUACUAAACACAGCUUACAUAUUUUACCUAAGCAACCGUGCUGUCAUGUUCCACCCUGAUUGGUUCGCACUACAUAACACUGUGCCUUAUUUGGCUGCUUCCUCAUUCCUUUGCAUCUUUCCCCUAUUCUUGUUUUCUCUGCAUCAAGGUCAGCACGAUAGCACCGUCUCACUAUGCUUAGGGAAAAGCCUGUCCCGUACAUCCUGUUUCCCCGUAAGACGCCUACUACAACAGUUCUCCGACAAUAUUGACAGAAUUCUUGAAAUAAUAGAGAAAGAAGAACCACGCUGUAGUGGAAAUGCUAAGUCACAGCUUGAAAUAGUGAUUGAGCACCUGGUGGGAAGGCAGGGCCAACCCAGGGGAGCUCAGGUGCAUGCAAUGUACCUGAGUGAUGAGAAAGGGUGGAGCCGGGAUGCACCUCUUUCCAGACCUCAUGUAAGGGUUGGCAGUGGGGGUCAGAUUAUCUCACUGGAGGUCUGUACUAUUGUUGUAGUAGGCGCUUGAUGGGAAUACGUGCUGUAUGGGAUAGUCCUCUUCCUAAGCACAGUGAAAGGGUGCUGUUGUGUUCAGACAGGCUGUCCUUGCUAAUGAAGUAAACAAGAUAAGUAGGCGAAGGAAUGAGGAGACAAUAGGAGCCAAAUAAGGAAUUGUAGUAAGGGGCUAAGAUCCAGUACGGACGAAUCAGAACAGGGCACGAUAGCUCAAGUAAAGGUAUAUAAGCUGUGCUUAGUAGUGAAUAGAUGCCAUUUUACUGCUCAUCAUAUUGGUGUGCGUCUGCAGUCAUUUGGCCCUGAUCAGGUAAUUGGUCAGUGUGUGCAAGAGGGCUAGCACAGGUGGCUAACAUCAUAGUUGCUGAAGGCAACAGCAUAUCUGAGGCCUUCUGAAGGUAAGGUGUUUUUUUCCCCUUAUUUCUGUGUCCACUGUAACUCCUCACUUGCCUGGGUUCUUGCUGCUCUGUUGUCAUUGUUGCACUUACCAUCAUGUUACACAGACUAUCAGAUUCCAUUUCCUAAGCUGCAAAGAUAACAUACAUAAUUGUAAGACAUAAUGGCACUUGAUCUCAUAUUUUCAAAGAAAUACUAUGAUAUCACGUCACUUCACAGGGCACACCACUUAGCUUUAUAGCAUUUACUUAUAGCAGAGUCACAUAUUAAAUGCUGCUGAGUUAUAGGGUAAAUGAUACUCAUAUCUGUUGGGCAAAUUACAGCUUAAUAACACAAGAAUAUACAUAAAUAAUAUGAAUUUCCUGGUUAUUUUAAUAACAAAUAACUUAUAAUUAUGGAAAACAAAGAAGCAGUCGAGUGAUGGGCUGGAAUAUACAAGCAAGAAUGUUUUUAUACACUGAGCCAAGUGUUUCUAAACUAAAAUGCUCAUAGUAUGAGUGUCUUAAUUUUUUCCUGAAAUCUAACACAACUGCAAGCCAACAGAGCCUCAGGUAGUGCUCAUCCCACUCACCUCUGAUUAGAUCUAGUGCAAUGAGUCAGUUCAACAGGUAGAACUGAAGAAAACUGUUUGUGACAGGUGCUUUUUACUGAAUCAAACCAAUUUUCACUAAUAUGCUUGCUAAAUCCAAUGUGACAGGAAGAGAGGGAACAUACAGCCAGCUGUGAAAGAAGCGAGGGUGAAGAAUUGCCUUUUAAACCACACCAAACCCAAGCUAGUGCCAGAUUAUAUUAAAGUAAAUAGGACUGUGUACUUCAAGUAAUUAAAGUGGUACACCUUUAGUCUGGGACAUGUGACAAGAAUGAUAGAAACACCUAAAAUUUUGUAGACAUUUUCUGCCUGCUGAAGAACACAUUUUGUUAACUAAACUUAACAGAAGUCAGAGCCAUGUUUCCAAAACAAUGUUACAAGGACAUUUUUUAGCAGGGAAAAUACUCUAGUUUUAUUACAAGUAUCAACAUUGGAGCUGUUUGCCAUAAUUCCCGAACAGCUCAGACGCUUGCAUUACAUUUCCAGGUUGUAAUGGAGAGCAGUAACCAAGUUACCAAUCACAAGAAAUUAUUUGUUACGUUCCAUGAUUGAGCCAUAACUUUAAAUUCAGAGAACUUGGCUUAUCUGGUAAUAUGUAUUUGACCCUUACGACAUGACUAGUUUUGUUGAAUUAGCCUGAACAUGUGAUGUGGCGUUUAUGCCAGCUGCAGAAAGAUACUAUGCCCGGCUUGACAUAACAAAAUGUUAAUACAUUUGAUUUAGCAGAGUGAACUUGAGUAAAGUACUGCUUAGCAUCUUGUGACUACUAUGCUUUGGCUCAAUCCUAAGUGAACUAAAACCAGACUUAUUGUUAUGAAACCAUGGUUCUUUCAAAACCCCCUCUCUAAUCAGUCUGUAGUGAGCACACAUUACUCAGUUGUGCCUCCUGAAAGUUGUACACAGGUAUGACAACAAUAGUCCUAAAUAGAUAUGCACCAAAGGCUUACCUACAAGAAUAAUUUGAGACCCUACUACCUUUGCUCUUGCUCUGCUGAAUUCUAAAAAACACUACAUCUUCCUUCUUCCCUGCUUAUCCAUUUAUGGAAUUGCAGCUUGCUGCCAUCAAAACAAAGUCAGUGGUGGUGAGUCAGACUUGAAAGGUGGGCCCGGGUGAACCCAAUGAGGUUCAGCACAGCAAUGUGCGAGGUUUUGCACUUGGGCUGGAGGAACCCCAGGCAUCUGUAAAGACUGGAAGGAGAAGUCCUUGAGAGCAGCUCUGCAGAGAAAGACCUGGGGGUCCUGAUGGAUGACAACCUUAACAUGAGCCAGCAGUGUGCUCUUGCAGCUUGGAAAGCAAAUGGUAUCCUGGGCUCCAUCAUGAGAGGGGUGGCCAGCAGGGACAGGGAGGUGACUGUCCCUCUCUACUCUGCUCUUGUGAGGCCCCAUCUGGACUACUGUGUCCAGGUAUGGAGCCCCCAGUACAAGAAAGACAGAGAGCUGUUGGAGAGGGUCCAAAGGAGGGCCACAAAGAUGAUCAGGGGGCUGGAGCACCUCCCCUACAAUGACAGGCUGAGGGAGCUUGGCUUAUUCAGCCUGGAGAAGAGAAGGCUGCAGGGUGACCUCAUUGCAGCCUUUCAGUACCUGAAGGGAGCCUAUAAACAGGAAGGGAGUAAACUCUUUGAAAGGGUAGAUAACAGCAGGACAAGGGGGAAUGGUUUUAAGUUGAAAGAGGGAAGAUUUAGGCUGGAUGUUAGGGGGAAGUUCUUUACAAGGAGAGUGGUGAGGUGCUGGAACAGGCUGCCCAGAGAGGUUGUGGAUGCCCCGUCCCUGGAGGUGUUCAAGGCCAGGUUGGAUGGGGCCCUGGGCAACCUGGUCUAUUAAAUGGGGAGGCUGGUGGCCCUGCCUGGCAUGGGGGUUGGAGGUUCAUGAUCCUUGAGGUCCCUUCCAACCCAGGCCAUUCUGUGAGUCCAAGACCAUGGGGUCAGAUGGGAUCCACCCAAGUGCACUGAAGGAGCUAACAGAAGUGCCUGCCAAGCUGGUUUCCAUCGUUUAUCAGCAGACACAUACUGAGUUUCAUGGUACAGGACUUUUUAUUGAAAAGUCAUGGCAGGCAGUCAGGUGAAGUCCCUGGUGACUGGAGAAAAAAAAAAAAAAGGCAACAUCACACAUUUUUAAGAGGGUUUUACCCAGAAUGACCCUGGGAACUACCAACUGCUCAGUUGUACCUCUGUGCCAAGAAAGAUCAUGAAGCAGAUCUUCCUGGAAGCUAUGCUAAGGCAUGUGGAUGACAGGGAGGUGAUACAGGAGAACCAGCAUGGCUUUACCAAGGGAAAAAUCCUGAUUGACCAUCUACGAUGGUGUCACUGCAUCAAUGGACAAGUGAAAAGCCACUGAUGUCAUCUGUCUGGACUUCAGUAAGGCCUUUGGCACAGUAACCCACAACAUUCUUCUCUUCAGAUUGGAAAUAUACGGAUUUGAUGGGUGGACUGUUCAACAUAAAGAAGUGGCAACAGGACUGAGUCCAGAGAGUGGUGGGCAAUGGCUCCAUGUCUGGAUAGAGAUCAGUGACUAGUGGUGUCUCCCAGGGGUCAGAGUUAGGAUCAGUUGUCUUCGGUGUUUGAGGUUGAAGACCCCUCCCUCGAGAGUUCAGGCUGGACAGGGCUCUGAGCAACCUGAUCUAGCUGUGGAUGUCCCUGCUCAUUGCAGGGGAAUUGAACUACAUGACCUUUAAAGGUCCCUUCCAACCGUAAGGAUUCUAUGACUAAUACCGUAGACAAAGUCCUAUAAAAUGGUGCGUUUAAUGUUUGUAUAAAGGUACUAACUUUGAAUUUAAGACAGGAAAACUUCAAAUUCUGCAUCUGUAGGAGUCUGCAGGUAGACUUCUAAGUAAUCCUCCAUCAGCUACCAGAAGUGUUUUUUGUCUUUAUUUUUUAAUGACACAAGGUUGGAAGCAGAAAACAAGUAUUUGUUUAAAAUUCAAAUCCUGUGGUAUCUUACGUAUCUAAAAAAGAAAAAUGCUGGAUCAGAAACAAACAAAAAUGACUACCUCAGUAGGAGACAGCUGGAGUGAAAUUGCUCUUUGAAAAUGAGUAUUGCUGACAUGGAAACUACAAAGUAUUGGCUGACAAAAAGAACACUGACAAUUAGGGUCGUAUGUUCUACAUAAAAGAUGAUGCAACAGAAUGAGUAAAUAACCUUAUUAGCUAUUUCCUUAUAAACCUAACUGAACAGGUGUCUCCAAACUACAGAAAUGCUGUACAUUAACAUUUGGUGGAAUGUUUUCUCCUAGUGGAAUAUAACUAUCAUUUUCCACGUAGAAGUAUCUGUACUUACAAAGGAAGUAUGAACUUCUUGUGGUUUUAUGGUUUUUGUUAUUGGUAUUCCACAUCAUAGCAACAUGUUGUGCACUGGAUACCCAGUUCUCAGAAGAGAAGAACAACUACAUACACCAGAGGACUUUGCAUUGUUGUUUCCAUUUUCUUUUCAGAGGGAAAGAUAAAACCGUUCUCGUAUCACAAGACAUCCCCCUUUUCUCUUCUGCUUGGCCUGGUUAGACAUCUUGCCUCAGCAUUAGACUAAGGGCUUUGGUUUUUGGACACUCAUUUUAUUUACUAGCUUCAAUUCUAAUUAUAUUGUACUACAGUGUGUUAUCUUGCAUUCCAAUAUCUUACUUCGUAAACUAGUUUUAUUUCUCCUCAGAUAAUUGCUGCUGUUUUGUUUUUAGGCCCAUCUCCCUACCCUUUCCCCAGCCAUAGAUCUGUGGGUUGCCCUGCCCCACUACUAGUCAUGGAGCUGGGCAGAACCAGCCUGUAAACUGUUGACAACUGAAUCACUACUUAAAGAAAUAGUUAUUCAAUUUGACUACAGGUAUGGGUCUUCGAGAAGACUUUCCUUGUCCCAGCAUUGUCCCUUUGUCCCAUUGUUCCUUGUCCCAGCAUUGUGACUGAAACAGUAGACAUACUGGAUUUGCAAAUUGAUCAGCAAGUUCCCAGGACUUUCCAAGGUCCCCAGUUUUACCCUGAGGGGACAAAAUGCACAGCAUUUACUGCUGUUGAAGUUAGCUUCCCCUGGUUCAGCAACUACUCUUCAAAGAGUGAUUUAACUAGAGGGUUUUUCUCUUGACAAAGGGAGACAAAUGCCAUACUCAGGUAUUUUAGUAACUCUUAACAACAAACAAAAUUUAGUAACUCAGUUAACAAAUACUGGCUACAAUCUCCAGCUGUGUCCCCACCUGCACCUCAAACCUGCCUCUCUUCCUG
rnacentral:lncRNA from 1 species